GAUGAACGCUGGCGGCGUGCCUAAUACAUGCCAGUCGAGCGAACAGACGAGGAGCUUGCUCCUCUGACGUUAGCGGCGGACGGGUGAGUAACACAUGGAUAACCUACCUAUAAGACUGGGAUAACUUCGGGACACCGGAGCUAAUACCGGAUAAUAUAUUGAACCGCAUGGUUCAAUAGUGAAAGACGGUUUUGCUGUCACUUAUAGAUGGAUCCGCGCCGCAUUAGCUAGUUGGUAAGGUAACGGGUUACCAAGGCGACGAUGCGUAGCCGACCUGAGAGGGUGAUCGGCCACACUGGAACUGAGACACGGUCCAGACUCCUACGGGAGGCAGCAGUAGGGAAUCGUCCGCAAUGGGCGAAAGCUUGACGGAGCAACGCUGCGUGAGUUAUGAAGGUCUUCGGAUCGUAAAACUCUGUUAUUAGGGAAGAACAAAUGUGGAAGUAACUAUGCACGUCUUGACGGUACCUAAUCAGAAAGCCACGGCUAACUACGUG
rnacentral:rRNA from 1 species